GUUUAACUGUAAAUAUUAGCAUCUUUUUACAUAAACAGACAUCCUUAUGUUACUAAUUUUUUUACAAAAAUAAAUAAGAGUUCAAAAUAAAAAUUUUAAUUUAUGAAAAGAGAAGAAGUAGGAAAAGUAUUUUUAAUUCAACAUUUACAGAGUGAAUCAGGAGAAGAAGUGUUGGUAAUUUAUUUUGAAACAGAUAGUAUCACGAGAAGAAGUGGUAAAAGUAAUAAAGUUCUUUUAUUUAACAUUACGGAUUGAAUUACGAGAAGAAAUGGUUGUAAUUAAUUUAAAACAUAUUGCAUCACGCGAAGAAUAGGAAAAAUAUUGCUAUACUUAAGUAUCAAGAUUAAAAUACUGAUGUACCGUUGAACUGAAGGUGGUAAUAAAGUUUACAAAAUUUGCUCUGGCUGAAUUUUUCAAUGAAAAAACAAUAUGUGUGCCAUGAAUGUAAUCUGUUUUUCAUGUCGUAUCAAUGAAAGUUUGGUGUAUUGGCCAAAUCACUUGCAAGUAUCUUGCCUUUAGGCUGCCAUACGUAAAGUCACGCUUUUAAAAGUAAUUGAAAGCAGCUGAAAAUAAGAAUUUUUUGAUAAACUUUCUUACUUCGGUUGGAGGAGAUGAGAAAGGAGAUGAGAACUUAAAGCGGCAAUCUUAAUACAGCUAAUGGCCAAAGAAGUAUGUUUUUCAUACUCAGUGUAUGGAAUGAAACAAAAACGUCCUGCAAGGUCGUUAUAGUUAAAGCACAAUAUUUGUAUUCUACAUCCCAUUUCCUUUUAAUAAAUAAAUAUUUUAAUAAAAGCUAAUUAUUUUACAAUAUUUAUACUUGAAAAGUUAUGUUUCAAAAUUAUAUUGUGAUGAUAUUUAAAAAACAUU